CCUACGGGUGGCAGCAGUGAGGAAUAUUGGUCAAUGGGCGCGAGCCUGAACCAGCAAAGUAGCGUGAAGGAUGACUGUCCUACGGGUUGUAAACUUCUUUUAUAAAGGAAUAAAGUGAGGCACGUGUGCCUUUUUGUAUGUACCUUAUGAAUAAGGAUCGGCUAACUCCGUGCCAGCAGCCGCGGUAAUACGGAGGAUCCGAGCGUUAUCCGGGUUUAUUGGGUUUAAAGGGAGCGUAGAUGGGUUGUUAAGUCAGUUGUGAAAGUUUGCGGCUCAACCGUAAAAUUGCAAUGGAUACUGGCAGCCUUGAGUGCAGUUGAGGUAGGCGGAAUUCGUGGUGUAGCGGUGAAAUGCUUAGAUAUCACGAAGAACUCCGAUUGCGAAGGCAGCUUACUAAACUGCCACUGACAUUGAUGCUCGAAAGUGUGGGUAUCAAACAGGAUUAGAUACCCCAGUAGUC
rnacentral:rRNA from 1 species